ACGGGUGUAGCUCAACUGGCAGAGCACCGGUCUCCAAAACCGGGGGUUGAAGGUUCGACUCCCUCCGCCCGUG
rnacentral:tRNA from 5 species